AUUAGUUUUUUAAUUGAAGGCUAGAAUGAAUGGUUGGACAAGAAAUAAUCUGUCUUAAACUAAUAUAUUGAAUUUAACUUUUAAGUGAAAAGGCUUAAAUGAUUUAAGGGGACGAUAAGACCCUAUAAAACUUUAUAUUUUAAGGUGGAAAUUAAUUUUAUUUUAAGGCUCCCAUUUUAAAUUAUUUUGUUGGGGCGACAAGGAUGCAAGAAAGGGUAACUGUCUUUUGUUUUUACAAUAAUAUUUGAAUUAUUGAUCCUAAAAAGGAUUAAAGAUUAAGUUACUUUAGGGAUAACAGCGUAAUUUUCUUUGAGAGUUCUUAUCGACAAGAGAGUUUGCGACCUCGAUGUUGAAUUAAAAGUUCUUUAUAGAGUAGAGACUAUAAGAGAAGGUCUGUUCGACCUUUAAAGUUUUACAUGAUUUUAGUUCA
rnacentral:rRNA from 1 species